CUGCAGCUGCAACUCGACUGCACGAAGCUGGAAUCGCUAGUAAUCGCGGAUCAGCACGCCGCGGUGAAUACGUUCCCGGGCCUUGUACACACCGCCCGUCACACCAUGGAAGUCUGCAAUGCCCGAAGCCGGUGGCCUAACCACUUAUGUGGAAGGAGCCGUCUAAGGCAGGGCAGAUGACUGGGGUGAAGUCGUAACAAGGUACC
rnacentral:rRNA from 1 species